AUUUGAACGCUGGCGGCAGGCUUAACACAUGCAAGUCGAACGGUAGCAGGAGAAAGCUUGCUUUCUUGCUGACGAGUGGCGGACGGGUGAGUAAUGCUUGGGAAUCUGGCUUAUGGAGGGGGAUAACGACGGGAAACUGUUGCUAAUACCGCGUAUUAUCGGAAGAUGAAAGUGCGGGACUGAGAGGCCGCAUGCCAUAGGAUGAGUCCAAGUGGGAUUAGGUAGUUGGUGGGGUAAAGGCCUACCAAGCCUGCGAUCUCUAGCUGGUCUGAGAGGAUGACCAGCCACACUGGAACUGAGACACGGUCCAGACUCCUACGGGAGGCAGCAGUGGGGAAUAUUGCGCAAUGGGGGGAACCCUGACGCAGCCAUGCCGCGUGAAUGAAGAAGGCCUUAGGGUUGUAAAGUUCUUUCGGUAUUGAGGAAGGUUGAUGUGUUAAUAGCACAUCAAAUUGACGUUAAAUACAGAAGAAGCACCGGCUAACUCCGUGCCAGCAGCCGCGGUAAUACGGAGGGUGCGAGCGUUAAUCGGAAUAACUGGGCGUAAAGGGCACGCAGGCGGUUAUUUAAGUGAGGUGUGAAAGCCCCGGGCUUAACCUGGGAAUUGCAUUUCAGACUGGGUAACUAGAGUACUUUAGGGAGGGGUAGAAUUCCACGUGUAGCGGUGAAAUGCGUAGAGAUGUGGAGGAAUACCGAAGGCGAAGGCAGCCCCUUGGGAAUGUACUGACGCUCAUGUGCGAAAGCGUGGGGAGCAAACAGG
rnacentral:rRNA from 1 species